UCGCGUGAAGUCGGAAUUGCUAGUAAUCGCAGAUCAGCAUGCUGCGGUGAAUACGUUCCCGGGCCUUGUACACACCGCCCGUCACACCAUGGAGCCGGUAACACCCGAAGCCAGUAGCCGAACCGCAAGGGAGGCGCUGUCGAAGGUGGGAUUGAUGACUGGGGUGAAGUCGUAACAAGGUAGC
rnacentral:rRNA from 1 species